UACGGAGGGUGCAAGCGUUAUCCGGAAUCACUGGGUUUAAAGGGUGCGUAGGCGGCUUAGUAAGUCAGUGGUGAAAGGCUGUGGCUUAACCAUGGAAUUGCCAUUGAUACUGCAGAGCUUGAAUGAGGUUGAGGUUGGCGGAAUGUGACAUGUAGCGGUGAAAUGCUUAGAUAUGUCAUGGAACACCGAUUGCGAAGGCAGCUGACUGGACCUAUAUUGACGCUGAGGCACGAAAGCGUGGGGAGCGAACAGG
rnacentral:rRNA from 1 species